rnacentral:rRNA from 1 species
GACGAACGCUGGCGGCGUGCUUAACACAUGCAAGUCGAACGGAAAGGCCCUGCUUUUGUGGGGUGCUCGAGUGGCGAACGGGUGAGUAACACGUGAGUAACCUGCCCUUGACUUUGGUAUAACUUCAGGAAACUGGGGCUAAUACCGGAUAGGAGCUCCUGCUGCAUGGUGGGGGUUGGAAAGUUUCGGCGGUUGGGGAUGAACUCGCGGCUUAUCAGCUUGUUGGUGGGGUAGUGGCUUACCAAGGCUUUGACGGGUAGCCGGCCUGAGAGGUUGACCGGCCACAUUGGGACUGGGAUACGGCCCAGACUCCUACGGGAGGCAGCAGUGGGGAAUAUUGCACAAUGGGCGGAAGCCUGAUGCAGCACCGCCGCGUGCGGGAUGACGGCCUUCGGGUUGUAAACCGCUUUCGCCUGUGACGAAGCGUGAGUGACGGUAAUGGGUAAAGAAGCACCGGCUAACUACGUG